CAAUAGCGUAUAUUUAAGUUGUUGCAGUUAAAAAGCUCGUAGUUGGAUUUCGGAUGGGAUUUGCCGGUCCGUCGUUACGGUGUGCACUGGCCAGUCCUAUCUUGUUGUCGGGGACUAGCUCCUUGGAUUCACUUCCUGGGACUAGGAGCUGACGAGGUUACUUUGAGUAAAUUAGAGUGUUCAAAGCAAGCCUACGCUCUGAAUACAUUAGCAUGGAAUAACACGAUAGGACUCUGGCUUAUCUUGUUGGUCUGUGAGACCAGAGUAAUGAUUAAGAGGGACAGUCGGGGACAUUCGUAUUUCAUUGUCAGAGGUGAAAUUCUUGGAUUUAUGAAAGACGAACUUCUGCGAAAGCAUUUGUCAAGGAUGUUUUCAUUAA
rnacentral:rRNA from 1 species